UAUUAAAAAAGUUUUUUGAAAGGUUUUAGUGAAAAAGUUAUUAUUGAUUUUUAUUAAGAAAACUUUUUUCUUACUUUUAAAAUAAUGAUAAAAAAACACCUUACCUUACGCAAGCAAUAGGUUGACUGUAACAGGUUUGAUCAGCUCCAAAAUAUUUUCAAAUCAACAAUUAAAGUGUAAUGUCAUCUAAUGAUUGGAAAGAAAAUGUUGUUACAAUGAUGAUGAAUGUGUUCAUAAAAGAUCCAGAAGCAUUUGCUAGAGUAAUGUAUUUUUUGGAUGAGGAAGAAAUAACAUAUGAAAAUUGUGUCUUCACAAUGGCGAACAUUGAAAUGUUCAAUGAAUAAUGAAGAUAUGUUUAAAAUUUAUGCAAAACGUAUCGCAGAAAGCACAAAACCAGCAAAAAAAGGUGAUCCUUUUAAAAAAAAAUGGAAGAGAUUUAUAAAAAUAUGCUUAAGGAUUCUAAAACACCGACAGAUGUAGCAGUCUUUCAAGAAUUUAAUAUAAAAAAGUUUACCGAAGAAAAAGCCCUCGAGAAAGCUGGACUGAUGGGUUUUGCAGCAGCUUGGAGAGUUAUACCGUUUGAAUAUCAAAAUCAAGUUUUGAAUUUUAUUAAAAACUUGAUAAACAACAAAGCUGUUAUAGGUUUAAUAGAUGGUACUGUUGGGUUAGGUAGUAGAUAUGGUGGAAAUGUUGCAACGGCUGCUUUAGCAGCUGUCAUGCUUGGCUACGAUGCUAUUAAAUCCAUUAAACGCUGGUGGAACGGAGAAAUAACUGGAUCUCGGUGUUGAAAAAAUAUAGUAGAUUCACUUACUACUACUGCUGCUAGUGUUGCAGGAGGAAUCGGAGGAGCUUCUAUUGGUUCUAUUUUUGGUCCUGUUGGCGCAGUAGCAGGUGCUAUAAUUUUUGGAACAAUAAGUGGUUCGGCUGCUAAUGCCCUUUCAGAUUGUAUGACACAAUGGAUAUUUGGAGUAUCAAAAGAAGAAGCAUUAGAAAAUGCGUUUUGAUAUUUUGGUCUGAAUGUUAAUGCAUCUAAUCACGAGAUUAAUGCAGUGUACAAAAAAAUGUGCUUCAAACAUCACCCAGAUAAAGGAGGCGAUUCUAAAGAUUUUAAUUACGUGCAAGUUAAUAUGGCCAUUAUUAAAGCUGCAAAGGGACUUUUGUGAGAACUUCAUUUUUCUUAUUUAAAACAUUUCUUUAUUUUCUUAUUUAAAACAAUUGGUAAUUUUUUAUACAGAAUACAGAAUAGUUAUAAUAAUAGACUUUUUAAAUACAGAAUAAAUUUAACAACAUCAAACCAGUUUUAAA